UUUGGUAGUUAUCCUACAUUGGAAUGGAUCCGAAAGCUUUCGAAGUUUAAUAAAGAGUCUCCACAUCUUACUCCUACUCACAACGGUGUACAGCGCCUUAACAUGUCUUUCUAAAAAUCUGAACUUGGGUAUACCAUUGAAACCAAGCUCCUUGAGAGGUUUGGGGGCCGGAAUCGGCUAUGG
rnacentral:ribozyme from 1 species